AACGAACGCCGGCGGCAUGCCUAACACAUGCAAGUCGAACGAUGCCUUCGGGCAUAGUGGCGCACGGGUGCGUAACGCGUGGGAAUCUGCCUUUCGGUUCGGAAUAACUCAGGGAAACUUGAGCUAAUACCGGAUAACGUCGCAAGACCAAAGAUUUAUCACCGAAAGAUGAGCCCGCGUAGGAUUAGCUAGUUGGUGAGGUAAAGGCUCACCAAGGCGACGAUCCUUAGCUGGUCUGAGAGGAUGAUCAGCCACACUGGGACUGCGACACGGCCCAGACUCCUACGGGAGGCAGCAGUGGGGAAUAUUGGACAAUGGGCGAAAGCCUGAUCCAGCAAUGCCGCGUGAGUGAUGAAGGCCUUAGGGUUGUAAAGCUCUUUUACCCGGGAAGAUAAUGACGGUACCGGGAGAAUAAGCCCCGGCUAACUCCGUG
rnacentral:rRNA from 1 species